GUCAAGGUGAUCUGCUGAGGUUCAAACUGAGCAUCAACAAGGUGAUUUAGGUGACUCUGAACAUCGCAUCAUUGUUGGUGCCAUUUGAGAAACUGCUGAUCUACUGCAUCUAGUGCUGAGAAUGGCUUGAAAACAAGGCAAUAUCUAAUGAGCAGCAGUUCUCUGGGUGAAAAAAUACCUUCUGGUUGAUGCCAGAAGUCAGAGGAGAAUUGCCAGACUGCUUUGAGAUAUCAGGAAGGCAAAAUAACCACUUGUUACAACCAAAGUAAGCAGAAGAUCAUCUCUGAAUGCAAAACACAUCGAAACCUUGCAGCAGAUGGGCUACAGCAGAAGAAGACCACACCGGCUGCCACUCCUGUCAGCUAAGAAUAGGAAGCCAAGGCUGCACUUCACAUGGACUCAUCACACCUGGCAUCAGCAACAAGAAAGCAUGGAUCCACCCUGUCUGGUAACAAUCAUCAGGCUGGUGGAAUGAUGUGGGGGAAGUUUUCUUGACACGCUUUGGGAGUGUUGUAUAAACACCUGAACAUUGUUGCUGGCCAUGUCAAUCUUUUUACGACCACAGUGUAUCCAACUUCUGAUGGCUGCUUUGAGCAGGAUAACAAACCAUGUCACAAAACUCAAAUAAUCUCAAACUGGUGUCUUGAACAUGACAUUGAGUUUACUGCACUCAAAUGGCCUCCACAGUCAGCAGAUCUCAAUCCAAUAGAGCACCCUUGGGACGAGAUGGAACAACAGAGUCAUGCCAUGAAUGUGAUGCUGUCGUGCCAAUAUGGACCAAGAAUGCAUGAGGAAUGUUUUCAGCCCCUUGUUGAAUCUAUACUACGAAAAACUGAGGAAUUAAGGCAGUUGUGAAGGCAAAAGUGUGUCCAGUACAACCAUCAGGAAGUGUUUGGCUUCGAGGCGUCUCUCUCAACCUUGGCCUCAGUCUCCCAGAUGUGGUGACCGUCUAAAAGAAAGGACAGGAAACAGAGAAAGACUUAGCAACGACGGUUCAGAAAAUAACCCACCUACUUGGCUCCCAGCAGAAAUGAAGAAAUGCAAUGACUGUUGUUAUUAUUAUCGGUUACAUCAGUGAUGUAUAAAACAGCUCCGGAGAGCGGAGGAUAUCACGAACGUCACACUGUCUGACCCACGGCUCAUGAGCUCAUAUCCUCGGUCUAACAAACCGGGGACAGACUUCGAGACAGCAAAAUCGCACAGAGAGAAAUCUGAUGCAAUCCUGAAAAAAAAGAAAAGCAGUCAUACCAAAGAGAUGAGCGACAUCUUUGGUGGAUGAGAGAAAGCUUGACUUCAUCGCUGUGUGGAAUCCCAACAUGCUCGAGCAGCUGGUUGGCUCGUUAAUGCGCGGCGACUGGAAACUGACAACUCGCCUCGACUUUCAAACCUCUCAUUUCUUCUGUUCUCAUAGGAAUCUUUCUGCUGUCCCCAUAUAAUGAUCGUUAAACGGUACUGGUACUUUUUUCUCUUCUUUUCUGGUAAUGUGCUUUUUCUUCUGUUUAGUUGCCACAAUAAAAAAGGUUUUCCCAUCAGGCAAUAAAACGAGGCAUCAUGUGAACUGCUGGAAACACAGGCCUACUAAAAAAAGCUCGGGUUUGAUUUGUCAUUUUGCCCAAUGAGGUGUGAGUAAAACUAUAUUUUUCAACCAAUUUAUUAGACACAGAGGGAAACCACUGUGAUUUCUUUAGACCCCUGACUCAUUAACAAGGCUCUAAAUUGACAUUAAAGGGCUGUGAAAUUGAAAACUGCACUUUAAAAGAAAGAAAAAGUCAACUAUGGCCAAAUUUGUUGAAGAAAAUUGACUCAGUAUCGCUCAACAUGAUGCCUGCAGUUUGACAAGUGGAGCGUUUGAAUGGAGCAGACAGCUCAGUGGAGACGGACGGGACGGUGUUUGAGUAGACGGGAGUUGUGAGGUGGCACAGAUGGAGGAGGUGCAGUUUGGCACUGACUGGAGAGCCGGAGACCUCUGCUCUGUUUGAUCUCACUUUCAUUUUUCUUAUAGCUUCUGCACAUGCCUGGCACUUAGGAUUAGAGUUUCAGGGUUGCUGCUCUCCAGCAACAAGCGAUAACAUUCGUUUUGAAUGAGUAAUAGGGCUACAAAUUCCUCUCAGACGAUUUGAAUCUUCGAGUGUCAAGUUUACGCUCAUUAUUUCAACUUUAACUCUAAACACAAAAUAAAAGUCUUUUUUUUACCUAAUGUUUCCACAGAACUCCUUCAUAUAAAACAGACUAUCAUCCAAGAAAAACCAACAAAAAAGGCUGAGAUAGAGCGCGCUGUCACUUUAGUAAUAACUCGAGGGAAACCUGAGAGGGGCUCAACUGAGAGCUGAGCUGUCACUUCUGGAGACAUAUUUUCAAACUCCUCAACUAUCAGAAGCCCGUCUCAAAUACUGUUUUUACAAUACAGGCUCUGCUUGUACUAAUUUAGUCAAUUUUUCAGUGCACCUGCUGUAAGUAAGAAUGUGGAACUCGGGCUGAGCUAUUAGAGCAAAGUUUUCUUUGUAAGCCUGCUCUGUUUAAAAGAGCACUUUUUAUUUCUGCUAAACAUCAAACAUCUGACAUGGUUUCUGCUGCCAUUAGCCACACCGUGCUUAAUAAUGCAUAAUGUUUAUGCUGCAGUCAAUAUACACAUGUAAAUGUAAGUGGUUGAAAUGACUUCAAAGGGAUGGAAAGAACAUUUCUGACAAGCUGCAAACCAGAAAAGAAAAAAAGGAAGCAAUGCAAUGCAGCCUGUGAACUCUGCAGAUACAUCAACAGGUUCGACUUGUCUUCCAGAUGACACUUAAUACAUCUCUUCUAGCAGCGCAUGCAACUCAACAUAUAUCAUAAAACCUUGCUAUUACUUGUUGUAUGUUUGUCUUUUUUCACUGGUAAAAAAAUAUUUUAAUUCAAUUUCAAGUCAGUUUUCCCUACAAGGU